AGAGUUUGAUCAUGGCUCAGAACGAACGCUGGCGGCGUGCCUAAUACAUGCAAGUCGCACGAGAAAGUCCUUCGGGACGAGUAGAGUGGCGCACGGGUGAGUAAUACAUAGGAACGUACCUUCUGGAGGGGGAUAACCACGGGAAACUGUGGCUAAUACCGCAUGAUGACGUGAGUCCAAAGCAGGCCUCUGUUUACAAGCUUGCACCAGUAGAGCGGCCUAUGUCCCAUUAGCUAGUUGGCAGGGUAACGGCCUACCAAGGCGACGAUGGGUAGCUGGUCUGAGAGGAUGAUCAGCCACACUGGGACUGAGACACGGCCCAGACUCCUACGGGAGGCAGCAGUAGGGAAUUUUGCACAAUGGGCGCAAGCUUGAUGCAGCAACGCCGCGUGAGUGAAGAAGGCUCUUGGGUUGUAAAGCCCUUUCGGCUGGAAAGAAGGGCUCACUUGCGAACAGUUAGUGAGUCUGACGGUACCAGAAGAAGAAGCACCUGCUAACUUCGUGCCAGCAGCAGCGGUAAUACGAAGGGUGCAAGCGUUGUUCGGAAUUACUGGGCGUAAAGGGCGCGUAGGCGGGUCGGUAAGUCGAUUGUGAAAUCCCUGGGCUUAACCUGGGAACAGCAGUCGAAACUACCGAUCUUGAGUGCCUGAGAGGAUGGCGGAAUUCCCGGUGUAGUAGUGAAAUACGUAGAUAUCGGGAAGAACACCUGAGGCGAAGGCGGCUAUCUGGCGGUGCACUGACGCUGAGGCGCGAAAGCGUGGGGAGCAAACAGGAUUAGAUACCCUGGUAGUCCACGCCGUAAACGAUGGAUACUAGGUGUCCGGGAUGUUAACCUCCUGGGUACCGAAGCUCACGCAUUAAGUAUCCCGCCUGGGGAGUACGGUCGCAAGACUAAAACUCA
rnacentral:rRNA from 1 species